GUUUGUAUAUAUGGUAUAGUGGAACCUCAACAACAAUGAUCGUAACUUGGCUUGGUCAGAAAGAAGUUGUUUACAUUUUUCUUCCUGGACACUGUUCUGUUAAUCAUCUGCAAUCUCUUUUAUGUCUCCAAAAUAUGAGUGUUCUUUACAAUGACUCAAUGUUUUAUGUACAUAGCUUCUACUUGCUGCACAACAAGUUGAAAUCGUUCACAUGUAAGUACGAAGCUAAAGGUUGGAGCUAGCUACCUAGCUAAUAAAGUUUACAUUUCCGGAGCUUCCAUUGUUCGCAGAUCCAAUAUCUCUUGGCUAUUCAAAUUUCUGACAAGGGUGCUUGAGUUAUCAUCAUCUGCAGAAACGACACUGCUUAGAGCGGCUGCAUUAACAUUCAAAUAUUCAUGAUUAUCCUGUGGAACAUCUUCGUGGCUGAGUUGUGAAGCAACAAACUUAUCAAGAACACGCCAGUCAGUUACUUGCUCAACUGCUUGAUCAUAACUCGAUGGAUAGCUGAUUUCGUCUUGUGCAAUGGAUGAAGAUUGCGGAAUGUUUCUGCUAAGGUUCACGUUAAGGCCGUACGGGGGCAUAUAAUUGCAGCUUCUGAUGAGAGGUAGCGGUGAUUGCAGCAUUUUUGAGUUUUCAAGAUGGGGAAGCUGGAAAAAAUGGUCCGAUCCAGAUAUAUUUUGAUACUGAAAUUCCUGCUCCUUUUUGCAAGGAUAAGGAUAACGGUAUGUAAUGUUCGGUUGUUUGGGAGAAUCCAUGUCUGGCAUGAAUGAAACUUGAUCUUCGUACCAUAUUGGUGACUCGUGCUCACUCAUUCUUCGCACUGCUGCAAUUUUCUUCUUAAACACCCUACAAACAACCCAUCCUUCUUCCUGUUGUCAUUACAAAAGCAAAGCCACACACACAUAUAUAAGCCAAUUGUGGCAAACUUUGAUUGUCAUUCAAACCAACAAUAAGAAUUAAUUAGAAACAUCCAUGAUCCAUGUUA